rnacentral:rRNA from 1 species
AUUGGUCAAUGGCCGAGAGGCUGAACCAGCCAAGUCGCGUGAGGGAUGACGGUUUUCGGAUUGUAAACCUCUGUCCUCUGUGAAGAUAGUGACGGUAGCAGAGGAGGAAGCUCCGGCUAACUACGUGCCAGCAGCCGCGGUAAUA